ACUCCUACGGGAGGCAGCAGUGGGGAAUAUUGCACAAUGGGCGCAAGCCUGAUGCAGCCAUGCCGCGUGUGUGAAGAAGGCCUUCGGGUUGUAAAGCACUUUCAGUCGUGAGGAAGGUGGUAGUGUUAAUAGCACUAUCAUUUGACGUUAGCGACAGAAGAAGCACCGGCUAACUCCGUGCCAGCAGCCGCGGUAAGUACGGAGGGUGCGAGCGUUAAUCGGUAAUUACGUGGGCGUAAAGCGCAUGCAGGUGGUUGUUAAGUCAGAUGUGAAAGCCCGGGGCUCAACCUCGGAAUAGCAUUUGAAACUGGCAGACUAGAGUACUGUAGAGGGGGUUAGAAUUUCAGGUGUAGCGGUGAAAUGCGUAGAGAUCUGAAGGAAUACCGGUGGCGAAGGCGGCCCCUGGACAGAUACUGACACUCAGAUGCGAAAGCGUGGGAGCAAACAGGAUUAGAUACCCCUGGUAGACUGUCA
rnacentral:rRNA from 1 species